rnacentral:rRNA from 1 species
AUUGAACGCUGGCGGCAUGCUUUACACAUGCAAGUCGAACGGUAACAGGCCGCAAGGUGCUGACGAGUGGCGAACGGGUGAGUAAUGCAUCGGAACGUGCCCAGUCGUGGGGGAUAACUACUCGAAAGAGUAGCUAAUACCGCAUACGAUCUAUGGAUGAAAGCGGGGGACCGUAAGGCCUCGCGCGAUUGGAGCGGCCGAUGUCAGAUUAGGUAGUUGGUGGGGUAAAGGCUCACCAAGCCAACGAUCUGUAGCUGGUCUGAGAGGACGACCAGCCACACUGGGACUGAGACACGGCCCAGACUCCUACGGGAGGCAGCAGUGGGGAAUUUUGGACAAUGGGCGCAAGCCUGAUCCAGCAAUGCCGCGUGCAGGAAGAAGGCCUUCGGGUUAUAAACUGCUUUUGUACGGAACGAAACGGCUCUGGUUAAUACCCGGGGCUAAUGACGGUACCGUAAGAAUAAGCACCGGCUAACUACGUG